UACGGGGGGGGCAAGCGUUGUUCGGAAUUACUGGGCGUAAAGGGCGCGUAGGCGGCCUGUUAAGUCGAACGUGAAAUCCCCGGGCUCAACCCGGGAACUGCGUCCGAUACUGGCAGGCUUGAAUCCGGGAGAGGGAUGCGGAAUUCCAGGUGUAGCGGUGAAAUGCGUAGAUAUCUGGAGGAACACCGGUGGCGAAGGCGGCAUCCUGGACCGGCAUUGACGCUGAGGCGCGAAAGCGUGGGGAGCAAACAGG
rnacentral:rRNA from 1 species